rnacentral:snoRNA from 1 species
CUUCAUUGAUGAUGUUCUUAAGUGUCACGGGUCUGGGCCACUGAAUGUCAAUGAUGGUGAUGAGGAAACUGAUGAAG